GAUGAACGCUAGCGGCAGGCCUAAUACAUGCAAGUCGAACGGAUAUAUGUUUUUCGGAAUAUAUAUUAGUGGCGCACGGGUGAGUAACACGUACAUAACUUGCCCUCAAGCGGGGGAUAGCCUUGGGAAACUGAGAGUAAUACCCCAUAGAAUUAUUGGACGGCAUCGUUUGAUAAUUAAAACUACGGUGUUUGGGGAUAGAUGUGCGUCUGAUUAGCUAGUUGGUGAGGUAACUGCUCACCAAGGCGACGAUCAGUAGGGGGCGUGAGAGCGUGGCCCCCCACACGGGUACUGAGACACGGACCCGACUCCUACGGGAGGCAGCAGUAAGGAAUAUUGGUCAAUGGAGGGAACUCUGAACCAGCCAUGCCGCGUGAAGGAUGACGGCCCUCUGGGUUGUAAACUUCUUUUGGAUGGGGCGAAAAAACGGGAUUUAUCCUGGACUGAUGGUACCAUCAGAAUAAGCACCGGCUAACUCCGUGCCAGCAGCCGCGGUAAUGUAGU
rnacentral:rRNA from 1 species